rnacentral:rRNA from 1 species
AGAGUUUGAUCCUGGCUCAGGAUGAACGCUAGCUACAGGCUUAACACAUGCAAGUCGAGGGGCAGCAUGGUCUUAGCUUGCUAAGGCCGAUGGCGACCGGCGCACGGGUGAGUAACACGUAUCCAACCUGCCGUCUACUCUUGGACAGCCUUCUGAAAGGAAGAUUAAUACAAGAUGGCAUCAUGAGUCCACAUGUUCACAUGAUUAAAGGUAUUCCGGUAGACGAUGGGGAUGCGUUCCAUUAGAUAGUAGGCGGGGUAACGGCCCACCUAGUCUUCGAUGGAUAGGGGUUCUGAGAGGAAGGUCCCCCACAUUGGAACUGAGACACGGUCCAAACUCCUACGGGAGGCAGCAGUGAGGAAUAUUGGUCAAUGGGCGAGAGCCUGAACCAGCCAAGUAGCGUGAAGGAUGACUGCCCUAUGGGUUGUAAACUUCUUUUAUAAAGGAAUAAAGUCGGGUAUGCAUACCCGUUUGCAUGUACUUUAUGAAUAAGGAUCGGCUAACUCCGUGCCAGCAGCCGCGGUAAUACGGAGGAUCCGAGCGUUAUCCGGAUUUAUUGGGUUUAAAGGGAGCGUAGAUGGAUGUUUAAGUCAGUUGUGAAAGUUUGCGGCUCAACCGUAAAAUUGCAGUUGAUACUGGAUGUCUUGAGUGCAGUUGAGGCAGGCGGAAUUCGUGGUGUAGCGGUGAAAUGCUUAGAUAUCACGAAGAACUCCGAUUGCGAAGGCAGCCUGCUAAGCUGCAACUGACAUUGAGGCUCGAAAGUGUGGGUAUCAAACAGGAUUAGAUACCCUGGUAGUCCACACGGUAAACGAUGAAUACUCGCUGUUUGCGAUAUACUGCAAGCGGCCAAGCGAAAGCGUUAAGUAUUCCACCUGGGGAGUACGCCGGCAACGGUGAAACUCAAAGGAAUUGACGGGGGCCCGCACAAGCGGAGGAACAUGUGGUUUAAUUCGAUGAUACGCGAGGAACCUUACCCGGGCUUAAAUUGCAGAUGAAUUACGGUGAAAGCCGUAAGCCGCAAGGCAUCUGUGAAGGUGCUGCAUGGUUGUCGUCAGCUCGUGCCGUGAGGUGUCGGCUUAAGUGCCAUAACGAGCGCAACCCUUGUUGUCAGUUACUAACAGGUUCUGCUGAGGACUCUGACAAGACUGCCAUCGUAAGAUGUGAGGAAGGUGGGGAUGACGUCAAAUCAGCACGGCCCUUACGUCCGGGGCUACACACGUGUUACAAUGGGGGGUACAGAGGGCCGCUACCACGCGAGUGGAUGCCAAUCCCAAAAACCUCUCUCAGUUCGGACUGGAGUCUGCAACCCGACUCCACGAAGCUGGAUUCGCUAGUAAUCGCGCAUCAGCCACGGCGCGGUGAAUACGUUCCCGGGCCUUGUACACACCGCCCGUCAAGCCAUGGGAGCCGGGGGUACCUGAAGUGCGUAACCGCGAGGAGCGCCCUAGGGUAAAACUGGUGACUGGGGCUAAGUCGUAACAAGGUAGCCG